ensembl:lncRNA
CAAGAAUAUUCUGUCAAUAUUUUUCACUUGUAAGCUGUUGGUUUGGGGGUUUUUUGGGUUUUUUCUUCAUGGGUCCCACUUUAGUCUCAGGUAAAUCCUCUUUCUCUAACCCUUUCUCAAGAGCCUAAGCCCUCCACCAGGACUUUGCAGUGUUUGUAUCUAUAGCAACACAAACUCUCCUUUGCCUUCAUCAGGCAGUUAGUCCGAGGCUUCCUCAGAAAGAACACUGGCAAAGAGCAGAAGCUACUGAAGUGCUAAUAUGGCAUUGGUUGACUGCUCUCUAGUUACAGCUCCAGACAGUCUGCUGAGAUAAUGAUCGCACCUCUCUCACCUUUCCCCUACUGGGCAAGAAGCUCCCUUUCUGUGAGGAUUGCUGUUAAUGAAAGGUUCCCUAUAAUUCAGUCUAUAUGCUACUUCUCAAAUAACUGUGCACGCAUGCUGUUGCUUCAGUCAUUUCUGGCUCUUCACAACCCCAUGGAUUGUAGCCUGCCAGGCUC